rnacentral:rRNA from 1 species
UAGAGUUUGAUCAUGGCUCAGAACGAACGCUGGCGGCGUGCUUAACACAUGCAAGUCGAACGGAUUUUACCUUCGGGUAAAGUUAGUGGCGCACGGGUGAGUAACGCGUGGGUAAUCUGCCUAUCAGUGGGGGACAACUUGGAGAAAUCCAAGCUAAUACCGCAUACGAUCUAAGGAUGAAAGUGGGGGAUCUUCGGACCUCACGCUGAUAGAUGAGCCCGCGUCUGAUUAGCUAGUUGGUGAGGUAAUGGCUCACCAAGGCGAUGAUCAGUAGCUGGUCUGAGAGGACGACCAGCCACACUGGGACUGAGACACGGCCCAGACUCCUACGGGAGGCAGCAGUGGGGAAUUUUGGACAAUGGGGGAAACCCUGAUCCAGCCAUUCCGCGUGAGUGAAGAAGGCCUUCGGGUCGUAAAGCUCUUUCGGCAGGAACGAAAAGGUGGAGGCUAAUACCUUUCAUCAAUGACGGUACCUGAAGAAGAAGCACCGGCUAACUACGUGCCAGCAGCCGCGGUAAUA